UGGGGAAUUUUGGACAAUGGGCGAAAGCCUGAUCCAGCAAUGCCGCGUGUGUGAAGAAGGCCUUCGGGUUGUAAAGCACUUUUGUCCGGAAAGAAAUGGCUCUGGUUAAUACCUGGGGUCGAUGACGGUACCGGAAGAAUAAGGACCGGCUAACUACGUGCCAGCAGCCGCGGUAAUACGUAGGGUCCAAGCGUUAAUCGGAAUUACUGGGCGUAAAGCGUGCGCAGGCGGUUGUGCAAGACCGAUGUGAAAUCCCCGAGCUUAACUUGGGAAUUGUAUAGGUGACUGCACGGCUAGAGUGUGUCAGAGGGGGGUAGAAUUCCACGUGUAGCAGUGAAAUGCGUAGAGAUGUGGAGGAAUACCGAUGGCGAAGGCAGCCCCCUGGGAUAACACUGACGCUCAUGCACGAAAGCGUGGCGAGCAAACAGG
rnacentral:rRNA from 1 species